UACGUAUGGUGCAAGCGUUAUCCGGAUUUACUGGGUGUAAAGGGAGCGUAGACGGCUGUGCAAGUCUGAAGUGAAAGGCCGGGGCCCAACCCCGGGAGUGCUUUGGAAACUGUGCGGCUAGAGUGCCGGAGAGGCAAGUGGAAUUCCCAGUGUAGCGGUGAAAUGCGUAGAUAUUGGGAGGAACACCAGUGGCGAAGGCGUCUUGCUGGACGAUGACUGACAUUGAGGCUCGAAAGCGUGGGGAGCAAACAGG
rnacentral:rRNA from 1 species